rnacentral:rRNA from 1 species
UGAGGAAUCUUGCGCAAUGGGGGAAACCCUGACGCAGCAACGCCGCGUGAGUGAGGAAGGUCUUCGGAUCGUAAAGCUCUGUCAGUUGGAAAGAAAUGUCUGGGAGUCAAUCCCUUUCAGGCUUGACGGUACCAACAGAGGAAGCACCGGCUAACUCCGUGCCAGCAGCCGCGGUAAUACGGGGGGUGCAAGCGUUGUUCGGAAUUAUUGGGCGUAAAGAGCGUGUAGGCGGCCGGAUAUGUCAGAUGUGAAAGCCCCGGGCUUAACCCGGGAAGUGCAUUGGAAACUGUCCGGCUCGAGUAGGGGAGAGGGAAGUGGAAUUCCUGGUGUAGAGGUGAAAUUCGUAGAUAUCAGGAGGAACACCGGUGGCGAAGGCGACUUCCUGGCCCUAUACUGACGCUGAGACGCGAGAGCGUGGGUAGCAAACAG